GGAAUAUUGGACAAUGGGCGAAAGCCUGAUCCAGCAAUGCCGCGUGUGUGAAGAAGGCCUUCGGGUUGUAAAGCACUUUGAUCUGGGAAGAAAAAGCUCUGGCUAAUAUCCAAAGCCUUGACGGUACCAGAGGAACAAGCACCGGCUAACUCUGUGCCAGCAGCCGCGGUAAUACAGAGGGUGCUAGCGUUAAUCGGAGUUACUGGGCGUAAAGCGUGUGUAGGCGGUUCGUUAAGUCGGAUGUGAAAGCCCUGGGCUCAACCUGGGAAUUGCACUCGAUACUGGCGAGCUAGAGUACGGUAGAGGGCGGCGGAAUUCCGGGUGUAGCGGUGAAAUGCGUAGAUAUCCGGAGGAACACCGAUGGCGAAGGCAACCGCCUGGGCCUGUACUGACGCUGAGACACGAAAGCGUGGGGAGCAAAC
rnacentral:rRNA from 1 species